rnacentral:rRNA from 1 species
UGCGAACGCUGGCGGCGUGCUUAACACAUGCAAGUCGAACGGAAAGGCCCUGCUUGCAGGGUGCUCGAGUGGCGAACGGGUGAGUAACACGUGGGUGAUCUGCCCCUUACUUUGGGAUAAGCCUGGGAAACUGGGUCUAAUACUGGAUAGGACCAUGCUGUAGGUGGUGUGGUGGAAAGAUUAGUUUCGGUAAGGGAUGAGCUCGCGGCCUAUCAGCUUGUUGGUGGGGUAAUGGCCUACCAAGGCGUCGCCGGGUAGCCGGCCUGAGAGGGUGGACGGCCACAUUGGGACUGAGAUACGGCCCAGACUCCUACGGGAGGCAGCAGUGGGGAAUAUUGCACAAUGGGCGCAAGCCUGAUGCAGCGACGCCGCGUGGGGGAUGACGGCCUUCGGGUUGUAAACUCCUUUCAGCCAUGACGAAGCCCUUGUGGUGACGGUAGUGGUAGAAGAAGCACCGGCUAACUACGUG